rnacentral:lncRNA from 1 species
UGAUGAUGAUGAUGAUGAUGAUACAAGACUCUUACAACAAGAAGUCGUAUAUGGCUUAAUGGACGAUAUCGGACCUUAUUGGAUCACGAUGGACACUAGUAUGUCAUAGAGUUGCAUAAAUCGGUUAAUUUCAAUAAUCCGUUCGGUUAGUUGGUAUAACCGGUCAAUUAGAACAAGUCAUUUAGGCCCAAUGAUGGUUAUUUGGGUUCUUAAAGGUCAAUUACGCCUAAUGAAGGUCAGUCAGGGUUGUUUAGCUCAAUGAUUGUCAAUUAGGCACAAUGACGGUUAAUUAGACCCAACGAUCGUAAGCUAGGUUCAAUGAAGCUCAGUUAGAGUUGUUGAGGCUCAGUGAUGGCCAAUUAAGCCCAGUGGUGAUCAAAUAGACCCAACGAUGCUCAUUUAGGCCAAGUGAUGGUUAAUUACGGUUUUUUAGCUCAAUGAAGGCCCAUUAGGCCCAAUGAAAGUCAAAUAGGUCUAAUGAUUGUCAGUUAGCUUCAAUGAUAGUUAGUUGAGCUUAAUAAAGGUCAAUUAGUCCUAAUGAAGGCUAGUUAGAGUUGUUAAGAUCAAUGAUGGCCAAUUACGCCCAAUGACGGUCAAUUAGACCUAACGAUGGUAAACUUGGUUCAAUGAAGGUCAACUAGAGUUGUUGAGGCUCAGUGAUGGCCAGUGGCCCAAUGAAAGUCAACUAGGUCUGAUGAUUGUCAGCUAGCUUCAAUGAUAGUUAGUUGGGCUUAAUAAAGGUCAAUUAGGCCUAAUGAAGGCCAGUUAGGGUUGUUAAUCUCAAUGAUGGUCAAUUAGGCCCAAUGAAUGUCAUUUAGGGUUGUUGACCUAGUUGUAAGAAUGCUAUAGUGAGUAGAGUGUGAAUUCUAACACGACCCGAAAAAUAACACGAACCUAACACGACAUUUACGGGUUUGAAUUUUGUCUAAACGGGUUUGGGUCAGUUUCAGGUUGAACCCGUGGACCCAUUCAACUCAAGUAGGCGGGUUCAGGUUAAACCGGUCGGGUUAUCGGGUUGACUCGUUUAACCCAUU